rnacentral:rRNA from 1 species
UACAGAGGGUGCGAGCGUUAAUCGGAAUUACUGGGCGUAAAGCGCACGUAGGUGGCGACGUAAGUCGGGUGUGAAAGCCCCGGGCUCAACCUGGGAAUUGCAUUCGAGACUGCAUUGCUGGAGUACGGAAGAGGAAGGCGGAAUUCCCGGUGUAGCGGUGAAAUGCGCAGAUAUCGGGAAGAACACCUAUGGCGAAGGCAGCUCUCUGGGACGGUACUGACGCUGAGACGCGAAAGCGUGGGGAGCGAACAGG